GAUGAACGCUGGCGGCGUGCUUAACACAUGCAAGUCGAACGGUGAAGGCGGAGCUUGCUCUGCUGGAUCAGUGGCGAACGGGUGAGUAACACGUGAGCAAUCUGCCCCUGACUCUGGGAUAAGCGCUGGAAACGGCGUCUAAUACUGGAUACGAGCUGCGAAGGCAUCUUCAGCAGCUGGAAAGAACUUCGGUCAGGGAUGAGCUCGCGGCUUAUCAGCUUGUUGGUGAGGUAACGGCUCACCAAGUCGUCGACGGGUAGCCGGCCUGAGAGGGUGACCGGCCACAAGGGGACUGAGACACGGCGCAGACUCCUACGGGAGGCAGCAGUGGGGAAUAUUGCACAAUGGGCGAAAGCGUGAUGCAGCAACGCCGCGUGAGGGACGACGGCCUUCGGGUUGUAAACCUCUUUUAGCAGAGAAGAAGCGAAAGUGACGGUACCUGCAGAAAAAGCGCCGGCUAACUACGUG
rnacentral:rRNA from 1 species